UUUGUAGUGAUUUCAUCAACUACAAGUAUAUUUUAUGGCCAUGGAUGAUAGUAUCCUUAUACAAGAUAUAAGUAGAAUGGGGAUUUUGUAGUGAUUUCAUCAACUACAAGUAUGUUUUAUAGUUUAGAAUUUUGCUCUUGUUGAACAAAUUGCUGUCUCAAAAUCCUUCUCAUCACCUUGUUUGUUGCUGUCCUUGGAAGAGAAGGGAGAGCUACCACAUGAGAAACCCUGAAUAAAGGAUUUAGUUUCUUCUGCACAGCUGAAUUGAAAGACUUCCUCAACUGUUCCAAAUCUGUGGUCGAGUUAUCCGGAUCGUUGAAUACAACAGCGAUUACCAAUCGCUCAGGUCCCCCUUGAGGAGGUGGUACACCAAUGGCGGCUGGUUUAAGGAUGCUGCUAUCAACUGCAUUACAAAUGCGUUCGAUUUCAACAGAACUAACCUUGAUGCCCCCAAGAUUCAUUGUAUCAUCUGCACGACCAUGUGCACGAUAGUAUCCCCUAGAAGUAUGCUCAAAAACAUCCCCAUGCCUUCGAAGAAUCUUUCCAUUCCAAACUGGCAUUCCCUUAUAAUAAACAUUAUAGUGAUUUGCAUUCAGCAGUGAACUUGAAGCUCCAAACAUGAGGGGACCAAGUGCCAGCUCACCCAUAACUGGUACAUUUUGUGGAAAUGGAUGGCCAUCAUCACCAAGAAUAAACAAGCUGCAGCCCAUUGCUGGUGUGCUAAAAGCAGCCAAUGACUGAGGCUGCAAUAAAGACCCUGAAACACCUCCAAUCUCUGUACCACCACAAUAUUCGAUAAUAGGCUUGUAGUGAGCUCUUCCCAUCAACCACAAGUAUUCGUCUACAUUAGAUGCUUCACCAGUG
rnacentral:misc_RNA from 1 species